rnacentral:rRNA from 1 species
GACGAACGCUGGCGGCGUGCCUAAUACAUGCGAGUCGAACGAGAGCGACCGGUGCUUGCACUGGUCAAUCUAGUGGCGAACGGGUGAGUAACACGUGGGUAACCUGCCCAUCAGAGGGGGAUAACAUCCGGAAACGGAUGCUAAAACCGCAUAGGUCUUCGAACCGCAUGGUUUGAAGAGGAAAAGAGGCGCAAGCUUCUGCUGAUGGAUGGACCCGCGGUGCAUUAGCUAGUUGGUGAGGUAACGGCUCACCAAGGCCGUGAUGCAUAGCCGACCUGAGAGGGUGAUCGGCCAAAUUGGGACUGAGAAAAGGCCCAAACUCCUACGGGAGGCAGCAGUAGGGAAUCUUCCGCAAUGGACGCAAGUCUGACGGAGCAACGCCGCGUGAGUGAAGAAGGUUUUCGGAUCGUAAAACUCUGUUGUUAGAGAAGAACAAGUGCUAGAGUAACUGUUAGCGCCUUGACGGUAUCUAACCAGAAAGCCACGGCUAACUACGUG